AACGAACGCUGGCGGCAGGCUUAACACAUGCAAGUCGAACGCCCCGCAAGGGGAGUGGCAGACGGGUGAGUAACGCGUGGGGAUCUACCGUACCCUACGGAACAACAGUUGGAAACGACUGCUAAUACCGUAUACGCCCUACGGGGGAAAGAUUUAUCGGGGUAUGAUGAGCCCGCGUUGGAUUAGCUAGUUGGUGGGGUAAAGGCCUACCAAGGCGACGAUCCAUAGCUGGUCUGAGAGGAUGAUCAGCCACAUUGGGACUGAGACACGGCCCAAACUCCUACGGGAGGCAGCAGUGGGGAAUAUUGGACAAUGGGCGCAGGCCCGAUCCAGCCAUGCCGCGUGAGUGAUGAAGGUCUUAGGAUUGUAAAGCUCUUUCACCGAUGAAGAUAAUGACGGUAGUCGGAGAAGAAGCCCCGGCUAACUUCGUGCCAGCCGCCGCGGUAA
rnacentral:rRNA from 1 species